GUGGGGAAUAUUGGGCAAUGGGCGAAAGCCUGACCCAGCAACGCCGCGUGAAGGAAGAAGGUCUUCGGAUCGUAAACUUCUAUCCUUGGUGAAGAUAAUGACGGUAGCCGAGAAGGAAGCCCCGGCUAACUACGUGCCAGCAGCCGCGGUAAUACGUAGGGGGCAAGCGUUGUCCGGAAUGAUUGGGCGUAAAGGGCGCGUAGGCGGCCUGGUAAGUCUGGAGUGAAAGUCCUGCUUUUAAGGUGGGAAUUGCUUUGGAUACUGUCGGGCUUGAGUGCAGGAGAGGUAAGUGGAAUUCCCGGUGGAGCGGUGAAAUGCGUAGAGAUCGGGAGGAACACCAGUGGCGAAGGCGACUUACUGGACUGUAACUGACGCUGAGGCGCGAAAGUGUGGGGAGCAAACAGGAUUAGAUCCCCAGUAGUCC
rnacentral:rRNA from 1 species